CACAUAAGAAAAUAUUUUGAGAAAUGCUGAAACAUGUAACCAUUGACUUCCAUAGUAGGAAAUACAAACACUAAAUGGUUACCGGUUUCCAACAUUCUUCAAAAUAUCUUCUUUAGUGUUCAACAAACUCAUAAAGAUUUGAAACAAGUAAAUCUCUUCAACAGCACGUCCUAAUUUUUUCUGUCAUCUGUUACCUGUAGGUCAGCUGAUGUUUUUUCCACUUGUAGUCUCCAGCAAAGGUCGAGUAGGCCUUGAUGUCUGGGACUCCGCAGCGGGGCUUCUUCAUCACCUCCAGCGUCUCCUGGUCCAGUUUUCCAGACACCUUGAGUUUAAAAAAUUGCUGCAUCUCCUUGAGCCUCAGACUCACAGCGCUGGAGCGUCUCUCACCAACAGACGAGCCCGGGCUCUGUUCAGGCUGUUUCGGCAGCCCAUACAGUCGAGUCAGGUGUUUUUACAUCCGAAAAGCCUCUUUUUGUCCUGAUGUCUGAUGAUGGGGAUCGGGAAGCACAGAUGCGUGACAUGACAGAGGACACUGAGUGUUUACUGGGAGCUGAUGUUCAGCAGCGGAAGCAGACCACAGUUGCCACGUUUUGCAGCAAUGUUUCAAAGAGAUGGAAAGUAAAUAAACGGCAGGCGGA